rnacentral:rRNA from 1 species
GACGAACGCUGGCGGCGUGCCUAAUACAUGCAAGUAGAACGCUGAAGGAGGAGCUUGCUUCUCUGGAUGAGUUGCGAACGGGUGAGUAACGCGUAGGUAACCUGCCUUGUAGCGGGGGAUAACUAUUGGAAACGAUAGCUAAUACCGCAUAAGAGUAGAUGUUGCAUGACAUUUGCUUAAAAGGUGCAAUUGCCUCACUACCAGAUGGACCUGCGUUGUAUUAGCUAGUUGGUGGGGUAAAGGCUCACCAAGGCGACGAUACAUAGCCGACCUGAGAGGGUGAUCGGCCAAACUGGGAAUGGGACACGGCCCAGACUUCUACGGGAGGGAGCAGUAGGGAAACUUUGGAAAUGGACGGAAGGCUGAACGAGGAACGCCGCGGGAGGGAAGAAGGGUUUCGGAUCGGAAAGCUCUGUUGUAAGAGAAGAAAGAGUGUGAGAGUGGAAAGUUCACACUGUGACGGUAUCUUACCAGAAAGGGACGGCUAACUACGUG